UACGGGGGGGAGCAAGCGUUGUUCGGAUUUACUGGGCGUAAAGGGCGCGUAGGCGGCGCAACAAGUCACUUGUGAAAUCUCCGGGCUUAACCCGGAGCGGUCAAGUGAUACUGUCGUGCUAGAGUGCGGAAGGGGCUACUGGAAUUCUCGGUGUAGCGGUGAAAUGCGUAGAUAUCGGGAGGAACACCAAUUGCGAAGGCAGCUCGCUGGGACGUCACUGACGCUGAGACGGCGAAAAGCGUGGGGAGCAAACAGGG
rnacentral:rRNA from 1 species